rnacentral:misc_RNA from 1 species
CCGUCAAUUCAUUUAAGUUUCAGCCUUGCGGCCGUACUCCCCAGGUGGAUUACUUAUUGUGUUAACUCCGGCACGGAGGGGGUCAGACCCCCCACACCUAGUAAUCAUCGUUUACGGCGUGGACUACCAGGGUAUCUAAUCCUGUUUGCUACCCACGCUUUCGUGCUUCAGCGUCAGUUAAAGCCCAGUAGGCCGCCUUCGCCACUGGUGUUCCUCCCGAUCUCUACGCAUUUCACCGCUACACCGGGAAUUCCGCCUACCUCUACUCCACUCAAGUCCUGCAGUUUCAAAAGCAGUUCACGGGUUAAGCCCAUGGAUUUCACUUCUGACUUGCAGGGCCGCCUACGCACCCUUUACACCCAGUAAAUCCGGACAACGCUCGCUCCCUACGUAUUACCGC